AAACAGGCAUGCUGGGAAACCUGCUGAGGUUGUUGGGAUCUUCCAAUGAUCCAGGGUGGGCCUCAAAUGAAGCUUUUCUUGCUUGGUUAUAUGUGCUCUAUGGGGAGCUCACCCUGCACUCUUUUCCUUGGAGUGGGCUAUUUUCUGAGAUAUUUCUUCUACUUGCCUGUUUUCAGGACCUUAAUCCUUGUAACCUAUGCCUCUGAUAGAUCAGGCUGGCUGAGAUUGACCAGUAGGUUCAAGAGCUACUAGAGGAGGAUACACCUAUAUAUCUGCAGUGAACUGAGCCCUGAGUUUCCUAGGAUCUACCCAGGCACUGGGAUGAAGAGCCUCACAGGCAGGAGCUUCAAGAGACCCCUCUCCUGAAGCAGCAAAAUGACUUCAAGCCAAGCAGCUCACAGCCAUGGAAAAGCUAAGUGGAGCACAAAAUGUUUCAGGAGUGCCCAGCUCCUAGAAAAAGGCAGCCAGUCUUUGCUAAGAGCAACAGGCAUGAGACUAUGGCCUGGAA